CCCAGACUCCUACGGGAGGCAGCAGUGGGGAAUAUUGCACAAUGGGGGAAACCCUGAUGCAGCGACGCCGCGUGAGUGAAGAAGUAUUUCGGUAUGUAAAGCUCUAUCAGCAGGGAAGAAAAAAGACGGUACCUGACUAAGAAGCCCCGGCUAACUACGUGCCAGCAGCCGCGGUAAUACGUAGGGGGCAAGCGUUAUCCGGAUUUACUGGGUGUAAAGGGAGCGUAGACGGAGAAGCAAGUCUGAAGUGAAAGCCCGUGGCUUAACCACGGGACUGCUUUGGAAACUGUUUGACUAGAGUGCUGGAGAGGUAAGUGGAAUUCCUAGUGUAGCGGUGAAAUGCGUAGAUAUUAGGAGGAACACCAGUGGCGAAGGCGGCCUGCUGGACGACAACUGACGGCGAGGCGCGAAAGCGUGGGGAGCAAACAGGAUUAGAUACCCUGGUAUG
rnacentral:rRNA from 1 species